rnacentral:rRNA from 1 species
GACAGAGGGUGCAAACGUUGCUCGGAAUUACUGGGCGUAAAGCGAGUGUAGGCGGUCCUAUAAGUCGGGUGUGAAAGCCCUGGGCUCAACCCAGGAAGUGCACUCGAUACUGUGGGGCUAGAGUAUCGGAGAGGUUGGUGGAAUUCUCGGUGUAGAGGUGAAAUUCGUAGAUAUCGAGAGGAACACCGGUGGCGAAAGGCGGCCAACUGGACGAAUACUGACGCUGAGACUCGAAAACGUGGGGAGCAAACAGG